UACGGAGGGUGCAAGCGUUGUCCGGAAUCACUGGGCGUAAAGGGCGCGUAGGCGGCUCAUGAAGGCUGUGGUGAAAGUCCGGGGCUCAACCUCGGAUCGGCCGUGGCGACUCGUGGGCUGGAGCACUGUAGAGGCGGGUGGAAUUCCGGGUGUAGCGGUGGAAUGCGUAGAGAUCCGGAGGAACACCUGUGGUGUAGACGGCUUUCUGGACCGUAGCUGACGCUGAGACACGAAAGCGUGGGUAGCAAACAGG
rnacentral:rRNA from 1 species